ensembl:lincRNA
GUUCACAAUGAAGCGCUCCACACUACUCAUCACUCUGAUUGCAUGCAGUGUAGCAGGGAUGUUUGUGAAUUUGAGUUUGGCACAAAAUAGUAAUACCUUGCUAUCCAAGACUGAUGUGACAAAUUAUUUUGCAAGUAAUACAGGUAAGUAUAAAUUUGCUUCCUUUUUCGUUUGUGCUCAAAGUUGAAAGGUUUUCUUCAGUAUUCCAUAAAACACUGUGACUCCCCUGGAACUUUGAAAAUAGGCCUACAAAGAGCCUACAAAAGACAUAACCAAAUACCUAACUCAUUUUUGUGCUACUAUCUAGACUUCUUCGUGCCUAACUAAUAUACUGGGCUGCUAUGCCGCUUACCAGCUUCAAAACGCACAGUCUCUUUGAGACUCUCCAUAAAAAAGUAGAUUUGAAAGAGUUUCAAAACUCACAAGUUCCUUAGUUCCACAUGUCCGGGGUUUGUCUUUCUCCCCCUGGUGAAUGGAGCACACAGAGGAUCUGCCUUGGUUCCUCCAGACAGCAGAUCAACCAACCCUGGAAGCCUUUUCUUUCUGUUUUUUUAAACUUCCAGAAACUGGUCAGGGGAUUUAGGGCAGAAACUGAUUCCCCACAGCUUUAUGGGGAAUGUGGACCAGAAAAGGCCUGCCAUUUAGUCUGAAAAUGCUACCUAUCAAUAAAAUAAGGCAAAAGAAAAUGAAAAGGGUAGUAAACAUCCUAGUUAAUCGAAUCAAAUCUGCAUUUUCACAACUAAACCUUUCCUCCUCAAUCAUACACUCUUAUUUUAAAAAUGUCAUUUUGAGAAUGUUGAGCUUUUUUCAAACUCAAGCUUUAAACAGAAUGAAUGGUUUCCGUUACAGUACAGGAUGCACCGCUAAUGAUCAAUGUAUUUUGAACCCAAGGAUUGUUAUACUCAACUUGUUUCAAUUCUUAUUCACUUGUCCAGGUCUGAAGACUGAAGAUGGUUUUCCUUCAUGGUUACAGCCAGCAGUAAUUGUAUUAUGGGUUCUGAAUUUGGUUUACAUUUUUCUUUUUCUUUUUUUUCUUUGGCUUUUCUGCAGAAGACGAGGGCAUGAAGAAGAGGGGAGAGAGGUUGGUGUUUCAGCUUCUCUAGAGAGAAGACUAGCAGUAAUUGGAGAACAAAUCACACAGCUGCAUGAUGACAACAGUAAGUACUGUACUAUUUGCAGAAAUGUAGUAGCCUUAACGGGAUAAAAUAUGUAACCCGAUAAAUGAAUAGCCAACAUCUGAAUGAGAAAUUGUACAGUAUUAGCUGUUAGUUUACUUAAAUCUGUCUUUUCGGUUUGUAAGUGUAAUAAUCAGGAAUUAUAGAGGUACAGUAUGUGGAGUUAAGUGAUGGGUCAGAAAUAUUUCACAAAUCUAAACCUAAAUUGCUGGACAUUGGUCCCUUUGUUUGUUUCUAUAUGCAUAUGAGAAUAGAUGGAUAUGUUCAUUAUUGUUCUUGGUACCCUGGGACCUUGAGCAGAAAUAUAUUCAACUUUCUGUUUCUAUCAGUGGACCUGAAGCCUUAAGUUCUGGCCAGAGGUAUUGUUUCUUUGUUGAUGUGAAUAGAUCUUAUACACCUUAUUGUAUUCUUUUU